rnacentral:rRNA from 1 species
UACAGAGGGUGCGAGCGUUAAUCGGAAUUACUGGGCGUAAAGGGUGCGUAGGUGGUUACAUAAGUCAGAUGUGAAAGCCCUGGGCUUAACCUAGGAACUGCAUUUGAAACUGUGUAGCUAGAGAGUGGUAGAGGGAAGUGGAAUUUCCGGUGUAGCGGUGAAAUGCGUAGAUAUCGGAAGGAACACCAGUGGCGAAGGCGACUUCCUGGACCAUCACUGACACUGAGGCACGAAAGCGUGGGGAGCAAACAGG